UACCUUCGACUUUGGGACUAUCAUUUGC
rnacentral:sRNA from 1 species